AGUGCAAAAUCAUCGGUCUUUCUUAAAGAAGCAUGUGAUUUAUAAGGAGCUAACACUAUUAAAGAUCCUUUGGUAUUGUCAAAGAUUCAUCAAAUCUAUCGAAUUGGUUAUAUAAAGGAGUAUUGGAUGAGGUAACUAUUGCAAGUCCCAGUGCCAUCAUUUAAGCAAAUAAUGCUACU